AACGAACGCUGGCGGCGUGUUUAAGACAUGCAAGUUGAACGGGGAAUUUUUGAAGCUUGCUUUGGAAUUAUAUUCCUAGUGGCGGACGGGUGCGUAACACGUGAGCAACCCUCCCUGAAGUGGGGGAUAGCCCGGGGAAACUCGGAUUAAUACCGCAUGUGAUCUCCGCAUGUGGUCCUAACGGAUCAAAGGUGGCUUCGGCUACCGCUUUGGGAUGGGCUCGCGGCCUAUCAGCUUGUUGGUGAGGUAACGGCUCACCAAGGCAGCGACGGGUAGCUGGUCUGAGAGGACGAUCAGCCUCACUGGAACUGAGACACGGUCCAGACACCUACGGGUGGCAGCAGUCGAGAAUCAUUCACAAUGGGGGAAACCCUGAUGAUGCAACGCCGCGUGGAGGAUGACGGCCUUCGGGUUGUAAACUCCUGUCAUCUGGGAGUAAUGCACGGGGGAGUAAGAUGCCUCCGUGCCUGAUAGUAUCUGAAGAGGAAGGGACGGCUAACUUCGUGCCAGCAGCCGCGGUAAUACGAAGGUCCCGAGCGUUGUUCGGAUUUACUGGGCGUAAAGAGUACGUAGGCGGUGAGGUAAGUCAGAUGUGAAAGCCCAGGGCUCAACCUUGGAACUGCAUCCGAUACUGCCUUACUUGAGUAAUGGAGGGGCAUCUGGAAUUCACGGUGUAGCAGUGAAAUGCGUAGAUAUCGUGAGGAACACUAGUGGCGAAGGCGAGAUGCUGGACAUUUACUGACGCUGAGGUACGAAGGCCAGGGUAGCGAAAAGGAUUAGAUACCCUUGUAGUCCUGGCAGUAAACGGUGCUCGCUUGGUGUGGGGAGGUUCGACCCUCUCCGUGCCGGAGCUAACGCGUUAAGCGAGCCGCCUGGGGAGUACGGCCGCAAGGCUAAAACUCAAAGAAAUUGACGGGGACCCGCACAAGCGGUGGAGUAUGUGGCUUAAUUCGAUCCAACGCGAAGAACCUUACCUAGGCUUGACAUGCGUCUCUAAGCCGUUCGAAAGGCGGUGAGUGGCCUCUUUCCACAAUUCGCACAGGUGCUGCAUGGCUGUCGUCAGCUCGUGUCGUGAGAUGUUGGGUUAAGUCCCGCAACGAGCGCAACCCCUAUGUUCAGUUGCCAGCGCGUAAUGGCGGGGACUCUGGACAGACUGCCCAGUUCAACUGGGAGGAAGGUGGGGACGACGUCAAGUCAGUAUGGCCCUUACGCCCAGGGCUGCACACGUACUACAAUGCCCAGCACAAUGUGAACCGAUACCGCAAGGUGGAGGAAAUCCUUAAAACUGGGCUCAGUUCGGAUUGUGGGCUGCAACUCGCCCACAUGAAGCUGGAAUCGCUAGUAAUGGCACAUCAGCUACGGUGCCGUGAAUACGUUCCCGGGUCUUGUACACACCGCCCGUCACAUCAUGGGAGCCGGCCGCACCCGAAGUGUCCUCAAUUCGUACGGCCCUAAGGUGUAGCUGGUAACUGGGAUG
rnacentral:rRNA from 1 species